rnacentral:rRNA from 1 species
UACGGUAGGGUGCAGGCGUUAAUCGGAAUUACUGGGCGUAAAGCGUGCGCAGGCGGUUUCUUAAGUCAGAUGUGAAAACCCCGGGCUUAACCUGGGGAACUGCGUUUGAAACGUGGGAGACUUGAGUGUGGGCAGAGGGGGGUGGAAUUCCACGUGUAGCAGUGAAAUGCGUAGAUAUGUGGAGGAACACCGAUGGCGAAGGCAGCCCCCUGGGUCAAGAUUGACGCUCGAUGCACGAAAGCGUGGGGAGCAAACAGG